GGCAGCACAGGACUGUGAGGUGCUGGGACAGCACAUCCCCGCAGGUACAGUGCUGGAGAUAGCUGUGGGUGCCCUACACUAUGACCCAGAGCACUGGCCGUACCCUGAGAUCUUUGAACCUGAAAGGUUCACAGCAGAGGCUCGGCUUCAGCAGAGACCCUUCACAUACCUGCCCUUCGGAGCUGGCCCCAGGAGCUGCCUCGGAGUGCGGCUGGGGCUGCUGGUGGUCAAGCUGACAGUCCUCCAGAUCCUACACAAGUUCCGCUUUGAAGCCAGCUCCGAGACUGAGGUUCCACUUCAGCUAGAAUCCAAAUCUGCCCUAGGCCCCAAAAAUGGAGUCCACAUCAAGAUUGUGUCACGUUGACACAGAAGUCACGUAGAAAGCACUUUGUGAUGAUGACAUCUGCAAGUCCUGUUUGA